GACGAACGCUGGCGGCGUGCUUAACACAUGCAAGUCGAGCGGUAAGGCCCUUUCGGGGGUACACGAGCGGCGAACGGGUGAGUAACACGUGGGUGACCUGCCCUUAGCUCUGGGAUAAGCCUGGGAAACUGGGUCUAAUACCGGAUAUGACUCCAUGACGCAUGUUGUGGGGUGGAAAGCCUUGUGCGGCUAGGGAUGGGCCCGCGGCCUAUCAGCUUGUUGGUGGGGUGAUGGCCACCAAGGCGACGACGGUAGCCGGCCUGAGAGGGCGACCGGCCACACUGGGACUGAGACACGGCCCAGACUCCUACGGGAGGCAGCAGUGGGGAAUCUUGCGCAAUGGGCGAAAGCCUGACGCAGCGACGCCGCGUGGGGA
rnacentral:rRNA from 1 species